AGUGAACGCUGGCGGUAGGCCUAACACAUGCAAGUCGAACGGCAGCACAGUAAGAGCUUGCUCUUACGGGUGGCGAGUGGCGGACGGGUGAGGAAUACAUCGGAAUCUACUUUUUCGUGGGGGAUAACGUAGGGAAACUUACGCUAAUACCGCAUACGACCUACGGGUGAAAGCAGGGGAUCUUCGGACCUUGCGCGAUUGAAUGAGCCGAUGUCGGAUUAGCUAGUUGGCGGGGUAAAGGCCCACCAAGGCGACGAUCCGUAGCUGGUCUGAGAGGAUGAUCAGCCACACUAGAACUGAAACACGCUCCAGCCUCCUACGGGAGGCAGCAUUGGGGAAUAUUGGACAAAGGGCGCAAGCCUGAUCCAGCCAUACCGCGUGGGUGAAGAAGGCCUUCGGGUUGUAAAGCCCUUUUGUUGGGAAAGAAAAGCAGCAGGUUAAUACCCCGCUGUUCUGACGGUACCCAAAGAAUAAGCACCGGCUAACUUCGUG
rnacentral:rRNA from 1 species